rnacentral:ncRNA from 3 species
UGAUUGAGCCGCGCCAAUAUCU